UACGGGGGGGGCAAGCGUUGUUCGGAAUUAUUGGGCGUAAAGGGUGCGUAGGCGGUUUGGUAAGUCUGAUGUGAAAUCUAUGGGCUCAACUCAUAGUCUGCAUCGGAAACUGCCGGGCUUGAGUGUGGGAGAGGUGAGUGGAAUUCCUGGUGUAGCGGUGAAAUGCGUAGAUAUCAGGAGGAACACCUGUGGCGAAAGCGGCUCACUGGACCAUAACUGACGCUGAUGCACGAAAGCUAGGGGAGCAAACAGG
rnacentral:rRNA from 1 species